rnacentral:rRNA from 1 species
CCAAUAGCGUAUAUUAAAGUUGUUGCAGUUAAAAAGCUCGUAGUUGAAUUUUAGGCCUGGCCGGGCGGUCCGUCUUUGGCGAGUACUGUCUUGUCGUCGGGUCUUCCUUCUGGUGAACCAGUAUGCCCUUUAUUGGGUGUGUUGGGGAGCCAGGACCAUUACCUUGAAAAAAUUAGAGUGUUUAAAGCGGGCUAUUGCUUGAAUAGAUUAGCAUGGAAUAAUAGAAUAGGACGUUGUGGUUCUAUUUUGUUGGUUUCUAGGACCACCGUAAUGAUUAAUAGGGAUAGUUGGGUGAAUUAGUAUGCAAUUGUCAGAGGUGAAAUUCUUGGAUUUAUUGAAGACUAACUAUUGCGAAAGCAUUUGCCAAGGAUGUUUUCAUUAAUCAAGAACGAAAGUUAGGGGAUCGAAGACGAUCAGAUACCGUCGUAGUCUUAACCAUAAACUAUGCCGACUAGGAAUCGGGCGUCGUUAUUUUCACGACUCGCUCGGCGCCUUAUG